rnacentral:rRNA from 1 species
CUCAUUAAAUCAGUUAUAGUUUAUUUGAUGGUCUCUUUUGUCUUUUUUUACCUACUUGGAUAACCGUGGUAAUUCUAGAGCUAAUACAUGCGCAAGGUCUCGAGCGCGGGGGGCGAGGGCUUCACGGCCCUGUCCUCGCAUGCGCAGAGGGAUGUAUUUAUUAGGUUAAAACCAGCGGCGGGGGUCGAGCAAUGGCCCCUGCCAAACACUCCUGGUGAUUCAUAGUAACUCUUUCGGAUCGCAUUCAUG